rnacentral:rRNA from 1 species
CUACGGGCGGCAGCAGUGGGGAAUAUUGGACAAUGGGCGAAAGCCUGAUCCAGCCAUGCCGCGUGUGUGAAGAAGGCCUUCGGGUUGUAAAGCACUUUCAGUGGGGAAGAAAGCCUUGGGGCUAAUACCCUCGAGGAAGGACAUCACCCACAGAAGAAGCACCGGCUAACUCCGUGCCAGCAGCCGCGGUAAUACGGAGGGUGCGAGCGUUAAUCGGAAUUACUGGGCGUAAAGCGCGCGUAGGCGGUCUGAUAAGCCGGUUGUGAAAGCCCCGGGCUCAACCUGGGAACGGCAUCCGGAACUGUCAGGCUAGAGUGCAGGAGAGGAAGGUAGAAUUCCCGGUGUAGCAGUGAAAUGCGUAGAGAUCGGGAGGAAUACCAGUGGCGAAGGCGGCCUUCUGGACUGACACUGACGCUGAGGUGCGAAAGCGUGGGUAGCAAACAGGAUUAGAUACCCCAGUAGUC